UUUUAGCAAAUUACCUAAACUUCUCUCUCCCUGACCCAAAUAUACCAAAGCAAAGCAUAGAUUGCUAAAACUCCUUUUCACACGCGGGAGACGCCAACUGUCUCGCCCGACUCGUUUCACAGCCGCGUCGCCCCUUCCGCUCCCAUGCCGCCGGCACCGCCGCCGCCCCCGCCCUCCCCAUCUCCGGCGGGCGCGACCUCCAUGGAAGAGGACGGGGCCCUUCCCGCAGCCCCUCCGCCGCCUUUCCCUCGCUCCGGCCAAGCUCCGGGCGAUCCCAAUCCGAAGGUCUAGCGGCGCCUGGGGCUGGUGCCGCCUGCUAGGAAGGCCGGCUCCGGGUCGCCCGCCUCCGUGUCUGGUGCGCCCGCGGGUGGCUCCGACGUGCCAGCAGCUAGCACUGAGGAAGGGGCCGGGGUCAAGCAGGGAAGGAAAAGGCCGCCCCGCAACCCUAGCAAGGCCUCAGCCGCAUGCAAGGAGAGGAGGGCCGCCGCGGAACCGACUCCGCUUGAAGCUCUGCCGGCGCCUCCGAUGUACUCCUUUGAAGCCGAUGCCUCCCCAUCCCAGAUUUCCCCUUCUCCAUUUGCACAGGAGGUGCUUGGUGAAAUUCCCCAAAGUAUGGAUGAUGAGUCUUUUAUCAACAUAUGUGAAAUAAAUGAAGAAACAUUUGAUGAUGUUGAUGCAAAUACAAUGGAUGAUGAACUUGGCUCUGA